rnacentral:rRNA from 1 species
UACGAAGGGGGCUAGCGUUGUUCGGAAUUACUGGGCGUAAAGGGCUCGUAGGCGGCCAACUAAGUCGGAUGUGAAAUCCCCAGGCUUAACCUGGGGAACUGCAUCCGAUACUGGAUGGCUUGAAUUCGGGAGAGGGAUGCAGAAUUCCAGGUGUAGCGGUGAAAUGCGUAGAUAUCUGGAGGAAUACCGGUGGCGAAGGCGG